rnacentral:lncRNA from 1 species
CAACUUGUCUUCUUCGCCGGAUUCCGGCUGCUGGAAAUAGAACACCAUCUCAGCCCCGUAUCUUUCAACCAUGUUGCUAUUUUAAGAUUUCUAGAUUUACUAAUUUAAAAAUCAGAAGAACAAAGGUUCUAAAGGGGUGCUCGGCCGUGAGUUUUCAUGGAGAAAGGAAGAUACCAUGAAUAUUGCUAUUGCUAGAACUGUUAAAUGAACGAGAUAAAGAUUGGUUAAUUAAGAAAAGAGAGAGUGAAGAGAUGAAGAUGG